AGGUCUCAUGUAGCUUUGGCUGGCCUUAAACAUACUAUGUCACCGAGGAUGACCUUGAAUUCCUGAUCCUUUUGCUUCUACCUCUUAAGUACGGAGAUUACAGGCCUGCACCACCAUGCUUGGAGGGGAGCAGGGUCUCAGACAAAAGUUUUCAUCAGAAAGAACAGACAUUAAUGAAACAGGAGCAGAAAGCUACUUUGGAAAACACAGUCAGCCCUCUGCAGAAAUUGCAGCAGAUGGCUACAGAAGAGGAGGAGGAAAAUGGAGGGUCAUCUAUCAUCUCAAUUGGCUGGGGACUGUCAUUCAGGAAGACCUGCUGAGCUGAACUCCUCUGAAGCUGGGGAAAGAAUGGGCAUGCCAAGUGGAAACAGCAGAAGCAAGAUGCCCAUAGAGAGGAGUGGGGAAUGAAGAGGAGAAAACUCCAUUCAGACGGAGAGAGUGCUUCCGAAUUAGUUUGAGAAUUCGUUUUUGUUGUUCUUUCAUUUAUCUGCUUAACCUGAGUCACACUGUGUAAAAAUAAAAUCCAUGUGUGUUUAAGGUAUA
rnacentral:lncRNA from 1 species